UACGAAGGGGGCUAGCGUUGUUCGGAAUCACUGGGCGUAAAGCGCACGUAGGCGGAUCUUUAAGUCAGGGGUGAAAUCCCGAGGCUCAACCUCGGAACUGCCUUUGAUACUGGGACUAUCGUAGUCCGGGAGAGGUGAGUGGAACUGCGAGUGUAGAGGUGAAAUUCGUAGAUAUUCGCAAGAACACCAGUGGCGAAGGCGGCUCACUGGCCCGGUACUGACGCUGAGGUGCGAAAGCGUGGGGAGCAAACAGG
rnacentral:rRNA from 1 species